rnacentral:rRNA from 1 species
CCUACGGGGGGCAGCAGUGAGGAAUAUUGGUCAAUGGGCGUAAGCCUGAACCAGCCAAGUCGCGUGAGGGAUGAAGGUUCUAUGGAUCGUAAACCUCUUUUAUAAGGGAAUAAAGUGUGGGACGUGUCCUGUUUUGUAUGUACCUUAUGAAUAAGCAUCGGCUAACUCCGUGCCAGCAGCCGCGGUAAUACGGAGGAUGCGAGCGUUAUCCGGAUUUAUUGGGUUUAAAGGGUGCGUAGGCGGAUUUUUAAGUCAGCGGUAAAAUGUCCGGGCUCAACCCGGGCCGGCCGUUGAAACUGGGGAUC